UGUAAGCGUAUACCAAAGUUGUUGCAGUUAAAACGCUCAUAGUCGGAAUUUGGCAGUUCCGGAUGUGUGCACGUCGUGUGCGCACUUCGCGGGGAUUGCUUUUGUGGUCUUGCGUAGGAUGAGGCACUUUUAUUAGUGAACGUCCUCACGCAACCACUUUUUACUGUGAGAAAAUCAGAGUGCUCAAAGCAGGCAUUUGCCGUGAAUGUAUUAGCAUGGAAUAAUAGAAUAGGACUUGGUUCUAUUUUGUUGGUUUGUUGGGACUGAGUAAUGAUUAAGAGGGACAGUUGGGGGCAUUUGUAUUUCGGUGCUAGAGGUGAAAUUCUUAGAUUACCGAAAGACAAACUGCUGCGAAAGCGUCUGCCAAGGAUGUUUUCAUUGA
rnacentral:rRNA from 1 species